rnacentral:tRNA from 1 species
ACCUGGGUGGCUCAGUCGGUUGAGCAUCCAACUUCGACUCCGGUGAUGAUCUCAGUGUUCGUGGGUUCAAGUCCCGCUUCAGGCU